rnacentral:rRNA from 1 species
UUGCUUUUUUCUUUUCGCCGGUAGACAGUCGUACAGGUACCGUAAGUCGUAACAGGCCCCCGUAAGUCGUAACAAGGUAUCCAAGUCGUAACAAGGUUGCCAAGUCGUAACAAGGUUACCAAGUCGUAACAAGGUAGAGUUCGAUCUACGUUCACAAGGACCUUGGUCCUUGUCGGGAAAGCCGGCCUCUCCAUGAAAUCUGGCCCUGAAAGAAAACCCCCCGCCCCAUCGGCUAUUGGGUAGGGAAAGGGCCUACCAGGGCAAAGACGGGUAGCUGGGCUGAAAGGACAACCAGCCACACUGGGACUGAUACACGGCCCAGACUCCUACGGGAGGCAGCAUUGGGAAAUUUCGGACAAUGGGCAAAAGCCUGAUCCAGCAAUGCCUCGGGUGUGAGGAAGGCCUCCGGGUUGUAAAGCACUUUUGUCCGGAAAAAAAUGGUUCUGGUUAAUACCUGGGUUCGAUGACGGUACCGGAAGAAUAAGGACCGGCUAACUACGCGCCAGCACCCGCGGAAAUACGUAGGGUCCAAGCGUUAAUCGAAAUUACGGGGCGUAAAGGGUGCCCAGGCGGUUGUGCAAUACCGAUGUGAAAUCCCCGAGCUUAACUUGGGAAUUGCCUUGGUGACUGCCCGGCUAUUUUGUGUCAAAGGGGGGUAGAAUUCCCCGUGUAUCAGUGAAUUGCAAAGAGAUGUGAAGGAAUACCGAUGGCGAAGGCAGCCCCCUGGGAUAACACUGACCCUCAUGCACGAAAGCCUGCGGAGCAAACAGGAUUAGAUACUCUGGUAGUCCACGCCCUAAACGAUGUCUACUAGUUGUUGGGGAUCCAUUUCCUUAGUAACGUAGCUAACGCGUGAAGUUUACCGCCUGGGGGAGUACGGUCUCAAGAUUAAAACUCAAAGGAAUGGACGGGGACCCGCACAAGUGGUGGAUGAUGGGAAUUAAUUCGAUCCACCCAAAGACGUUACCUACCCUUGACUUGCACUACGAAGCAAACAUGCCUUAGGUUGUCAUACAUAAGUGAACACAAGAUGCUGCAUGGCUGUCCGUCAACUCGUGUCAUGAGAUGUUGGCUAAGUCCCGCCACCGAGCGCACCUUGAUCUCUAGUUGCAUGCCAAGAGCAACCUCUAAACAGAUACUGGCCGGUUAUUAU